rnacentral:rRNA from 1 species
UUUGGUGAGGUGCCUUCCGAGUUCCCUGGAACGGGACGCCUAGAGGGUGAGAGCCCCGUCUGGUUGGACGCCGAACCUCUGUAAAGCUCCUUCGACGAGUCGAGUAGUUUGGGAAUGCUGCUCUAAAUGGGAGGUAUAUGUCUUCUAAAGCUAAAUACCGGCCAGAGACCGAUAGCGCACAAGUAGAGUGAUCGAAAGAUGAAAAGAACUUUGAAAAGAGAGUUAAACAGUACGUGAAAUUGUUGAAAGGGAAGCGCUUGUGACCAGACUUGGGCUUGGUUGAUCAUCCGGGGUUCUCCCCGGUGCACUCUUCCGGCCCAGGCCAGCAUCAGUUCGCCCUGGGGGACAAAGGCAUCGGGGACGUGGCUCUCUCCGGGGAGUGUUAUAGCCCGUUGCGUAAUACCCUGUGGC